AUUGAACGCUGGCGGCAGGCCUAACACAUGCAAGUCGAACGAGUGGCGGACGGGUGAGUAAUGUCUGGGAAACUGCCUGAUGGAGGGGGAUAACCACUGGAAACGGUAGCUAAUACCGCAUACCAUUGGAAGUGCCCAGAUGGUAUUAGCUAGUAGGUGGGGUAAAGGCGCACCUAGGCGACGAUCCCUAGCUGGUCUGAGAGGAUGACCAGCCACACUGGAACUGAGACACGGUCCAGACUCCUACGGGAGGCAGCAGUGGGGAAUAUUGCACAAUGGGCGCAAGCCUGAUGCAGCCAUGCCGCGUGUAUGAAGAAGGCCUUCGGGUUGUAAAGUACUUUCAGCGGGGAGGCGUUAACCGAAGAAGAAGCACCGGCUAACUCCGUGCCAGCAGCCGCGGUAAUAG
rnacentral:rRNA from 1 species